CUGUGCGGAGCCCGAGGCUGGUGUCCGCAGAGGAAGGAGCCAGCGCGGACUUCCGAGGGUCCUGAGCGCGGAGACACGCCCUCGGCCGGUGGGACGACCUCGGGGUCCCCAGACACCGCCCCGCCUCCCGGGCCCGCCCCACACCCGAGGCGCACGGGCUUAAGAGCGCGCGGGGCUGAGUCUCAGUGCCGCUCCAGCCCACGUCCCCAGGACGCAGACAGGACAGGCGGGCUGUGAGGACUCCCGCCGGCCCGCAACUGCCACCGACCCGGCUGUCCGUGUCCUGGGCUGCAGGCCCUCGGGACCCGCCCGGGAUCCGCCCUGAGCCUCCCGCUCUCCCCCAGGCGCGCGGACAUGCGGCCGGCCAAACCAGGCGCCCCGCUGCGCGCGCUCCUCCUGCUGGCCCUGGCUUUGUCCCCUCGUGGGAUCCACGGAAGGCCCCGGGGGCGCAGGGGAGCCCGAGUCGCAGACAAGGAGUCGAAGCCUUUGCAUUUUCUGCCCGCAGCCGGGGCCAGCCCGGCUCCCAGCGCCUUCCGAAGCGCAGAAAUAUUCCCAAGAGAUUUGAAGUUAAAAGACAAAGACAAAUUCAUAAAGCAUUUCACAGGGCCAGUCACAUUUUCAGCUGAAUGUAGCAAACAUUUCCAUCGACUCUAUUACAAUACCAGGGAUUGCUCAACACCCGCCUAUUACAAAAGAUGUGCUAGAUUGCUAACAAGAUUAUCGGUGAGUCCACUCUGCUCACAGACCUAGCUAGAAAACCUCUCCUGUUGUCUCUUCAACUCUGUCAAUAGUCUAACUUACCUAAGAAAACGAACAAUGCAUUUCUUAAGAAUGUAUUAAUUUAAUUCGAAGAAGAAAGUACCUGGAAUUAUACUAAAUGUAAAAAGAGAUGAAAUUUGUAAUUUUAUAGAUAUUAUAAUGAGUAAAAUGAAAGACUUCCCAGAAAUAACUAAUUAGCUGUAUCCUAUCAUAGA